rnacentral:rRNA from 1 species
UACAGAGGGGGCAAGCGUUGUUCGGAAUUACUGGGCGUAAAGGGCGCGUAGGCGGCCUGUUAAGUCGAACGUGAAAUCUCCGGGCUCAACCCGGGAACUGCGUCCGAUACUGGCAGGCUUGAAUUCGGGAGAGGGAUGUGGAAUUCCAGGUGUAGCGGUGAAAUGCGUAGAUAUCUGGAGGAACACCGGUGGCGAAGGCGGCAUCCUGGACCGAUAGUUGACGCUGAUGCGCGAAAGCCAGGGGAGCA